CAUCUUCUUUCGUAUUGGUGGCCUAAGGCCCACGUUCAUAAAGGAGUAUCUAGUUUUCACCAGAUAUCGAUAUUUUGCUAAUUUUUUUAGGUUUUCACAUACUUCGAACGGAUACUCCAAAUUCAUUUGAGACCCGAUAUUAAACCAUGUAUGCUACCAAGCUAUUUUUGAUAUUUUGAACUCAACAACGAUAUUGUUUUUUUGAAAAAAUGUUGUUUUCACAAAAUUAAACCCCAG
rnacentral:lncRNA from 1 species